rnacentral:rRNA from 1 species
AGGACGAACGCUGGCGGCGUGCUUAACACAUGCAAGUCGAGCGGAAAGGCCCUUCGGGGUACUCGAGCGGCGAACGGGUGGGUAACACGUGGGCAACCUGCCCCUAGCUCUGGGAUAACUCCGGGAAACCGGGGCUAAUACCGGAUACGAUCUUCCAUGGCAUCUCGGAAGAUGGAGAGUUUUUUCGGCUAGGGAUGGGCCCGCGGCCUAUCAGCUUGUUGGUGAGGUAACGGCCCACAAGGCGACGACGGGUAGCC